rnacentral:rRNA from 1 species
GACGAACGCUGGCGGCGCGCCUAACACAUGCAAGUCGAACGAGAGAGAGAGAGCUUGCUUUCUCGCGCGAGUGGCGAACGGGUGAGUAACGCGUGAGGAACCUGCCUCAAAGAGGGGGACAACAGUUGGAAACGACUGCUAAUACCGCAUAGGAGCACGACCCGGAAGGGGGGGGAGGGAAAAGGGGCAAUGCGCGUUGAGCUGGCCUCGCGUCCGAUUAGUUAGGUGGUGAGGUAACGGCCCACCAAGGCGACGAGCAGUAGCCGGGCUGAGAGGAUGCGCCGCCACGUUUGGACUGCGACCCAGCCCAGUCUCCUACGGGGGGCAGCAGUGGGGUAUAUUGCACAAUGGGGGAAACCCUGAUGCCGCGACGCCGCGUGUAGGAAGCAGGUCUUCGUAUUGUAAACUCCUGUUGUUCAGGAAGUUAAUGACGGUACUCAACAAGGAAGUGACGGCUAACUACGUG